UGAUGCAGCAACGCCGCGUGAGGGAUGACGGCCUUCGGGUUGUAAACCUCUUUUAGUAGGGAAGAAGGGCUUCGGCUUGACGGUACCUGCAGAAAAAGCACCGGCUAACUACGUGCCAGCAGCCGCGGUAAUACGUAGGGUGCGAGCGUUGUCCGGAAUUAUUGGGCGUAAAGAGCUCGUAGGCGGUUUGUCACGUCUGCUGUGAAAUCCCGAGGCUCAACCUCGGGCCUGCAGUGGGUACGGGCAGACUGGAGUGCGGUAGGGGAGAUUGGAAUUCCUGGUGUAGCGGUGGAAUGCGCAGAUAUCAGGAGGAACACCGAUGGCGAAGGCAGAUCUCUGGGCCGUAACUGACGCUGAGGAGCGAAAGCGUGGGGAGCGAACAGGAUUAGAUACCCUGGUAGUCCACGCCGUAAACGUUGGGCGCUAGAUGUGGGGACCAUUCCACGGUUUCCGUGUCGUAGCUAACGCAUUAAGCGCCCCGCCUGGGGAGUACGGCCGCAAGGCUAAAACUCAAAGGAAUUGACGGGGGCCCGCACAAGCGGCGGAGCAUGCGGAUUAAUUCGAUGCAACGCGAAGAACCUUACCAAGGCUUGACAUAUACGAGAACGCCGCAGAAAUGUGGAACUCUUUGGACACUCGUAUACAGGUGGUGCAUGGUUGUCGUCAGCUCGUGUCGUGAGAUGUUGGGUUAAGUCCCGCAACGAGCGCAACCCUCGUCGUAUGUUGCCAGCACGUAAUGGUGGGAACUCAUAUGAGACUGCCGGGGUCAACUCGGAGGAAGGUGGGGAUGACGUCAAAUCAUCAUGCCCCUUAUGUCUUGGGCUUCACGCAUGCUACAAUGGCCGGUACAAAGGGCUGCGAUGUCGUAAGGCGGAGCGAAUCCCAAAAAGCCGGUCUCAGUUCGGAUUGAGGUCUGCAACUCGACCUCAUGAAGUCGGAGUCGCUAGUAAUCGCAGAUCAGCAACGCUGCGGUGAAUACGUUCCCGGGCCUUGUACACACCGCCCGUCAAGUCAUGAAAGUCGGUAACACCCGAAGCCGGUGGCCUAACCCUUGUGGAGGGAGCCGUCGAAG
rnacentral:rRNA from 1 species